GUCCUGUUGUGUGUCACCAGGUCGAAGCAUUUCUUCUCCUCUGCGUGGGGCCGCACCUGGCAGGUGAGCAGGUUCAGCUUAGCUGGUGGGCGGUUGGGCUAUGAGAAGAACAAGGAAGGCUCAGUACUCAUGGCAUCAAAGCACUGAGACUGCCAAGGUCAGGCUGGACGGGGCUCUGAGCACCCUGAUGGAGCUGUAGGUGUCCCUGUUCAUUGCAGGGGAAUUGGACCAGAUGACCUUUUAAGGUCCCCUCCAACUCCUAAUUCUGUGAAAGGGUGAUAGCCCAGCAGUGAUAAUCAUCACCUUGCUUCAGAGCCAUGGAGCUGCCUCAGCCCCAGCACUUCAUCCUUAGCUCUGCUUUUGGGAGCAAUGCAAGAAAUAGCUACAUGGACUUCUUUUGCAACAGCCAUCCCAUGCUGGGGUCCCUGGUUCCCAGGUUCAGUUCCUUCCACGUACACAGGUGUGGGGGUGCCUCCCAUGGUUGUCUCUUGGAUUGCAAGGACUUCAGGCUCAGUGGGGCAGCGCAGCAGUGCAAGUACUAGGCAUGAGGGCUCUGCUGGGUCCCAGAAGUUGCCAGCACGGUGGGCAGCUGGGGGUCAACAGGGGAGGGCAGCAGAUCCCAGGCAGAGGUAGCAUGGGGUGGAAGAAGCAGUUCCUACCAUGCUGUGAGAGACGGUCAGGUAGCCAUUGCUGAUGGUGCAUUUCCUCUUUUGCCAGACUUUUCUCAACCUGGAAGUGAGCAGAGAGUGAUGCAAGAGGAGCAGACCAUCCAUGCAGCAAUGCCAGUGAGCACAAGCGCUGAGCAAGGUGACAUGCUGGCCCUGCUGCCAGAGUCUGUCACUCUUGGCCUGAUGGGAACAAGACAGUCCCAUUGAAUGGCACAAGGAUGGGCUUGCAAAGACAGGCAGCACAGCUUCUGCAGAGGCUACGCAGGC